rnacentral:rRNA from 1 species
GGUGAACGCUGGCGGCGGGCCUAAUACAUGCAAGUCGAACGAACAGACGAUGAGCUUUCGCCUCUGACGGUAGCGGCUGACGGGUGGGUAAGACGUGGAUAACCUACCUAUUAUACUGGGGGAACUUCGUGGAACCAGAUCCACUACCGCCGAAUAUAUUUAACCGCAUAAUUCAAGAGUUCAAGACGGUUUUGCUGUCACUUAGAGAUGGAUCCGCGUCGGAUUAGCUAGUUGGUAAGGUAACGGCUUACCAAGGCGACGAUGCGUAGCCGAGCUGAGAGGGUGAUCGGCCACACUGGAACUGAGACACGGUCCAGACUCCUACGGGAGGCAGCAGUAGGGAAUCUUCCACAAUGGGCGCAAGCCUGAUCGAGCCAUACCGCGUGAGUGAAGAAGGUCUUCGGGUUGUAAAGCUCUGUUGUUAGGGAAGAAAAACUGUGUAAGUAACUCUGCAUGUCUUGACGGUACCCAAUCAGAAAGCAACGGCUAACUACGUG